rnacentral:rRNA from 1 species
UGGCGAACGGGUGAGUAACACGUGGGUAAUCUGCCCUGCACUCUGGGAUAAGCCUGGGAAACUGGGUCUAAUACUGGACAUGACCUUUCUCCUUAUGGGGUUUGGUGGAAAGUUUUUCGGUGUAGGAUGAGCCCGCGGCCUAUCAGCUUGUUGGUGGGGUGAUGGCCUACCAAGGCGACGACGGGUAGCCGGCCUGAGAGGGUGAUCGGCCACAUUGGGACUGAGAUACGGCCCAG